AUGAACGCUGGCGGUAUGCUUAACACCUGCAAGUCGCACGGACUCUUCGGAGUUAGUGGCGGACGGGUGAGUAACGCGUGAGAAUCUGGCUUUGGGUUCGGGACAACCACUGGAAACGGUGGCUAAUACCGGAUGUGCCGAGAGGUAAAAGAGAAAUUGCCUGAAGAUGAGCUCGCGUCUGAUUAGCUAGUUGGUGAGGUAAAGGCUCACCAAGGCAGCGAUCAGUAGCUGGUCUGAGAGGAUGACCAGCCACACUGGGACUGAGACACGGCCCAGACUCCUACGGGAGGCAGCAGUGGGGAAUUUUCCGCAAUGGGCGAAAGCCUGACGGAGCAAUACCGCGUGAGGGAAGAAGGCUCUUGGGUUGUAAACCUAUUUUCUUAGGGAAGAACAAAAUGACGGUACCUAAGGAAUCAGCAUCGGCUAACUCCGUG
rnacentral:rRNA from 1 species